rnacentral:rRNA from 1 species
UACGUAGGGUGCAAGCGUUAAUCGGAAUUACUGGGCGUAAAGCGUGCGCAGGCGGUGAUGUAAGACAGUUGUGAAAUCCCCGGGCUCAACCUGGGAACUGCAUCUGUGACUGCAUCGCUGGAGUACGGCAGAGGGGGAUGGAAUUCCGGGUGGAGCGGUGAAAUGCGUAGAGAUCCGGAGGAACACCGACGGCGAAGGCAGCGCCCUGGACGACACCUGACGCUCAGGCACGAAAGCUGGGGGAGCAAACAGG